GACGAACGCUGGCGGCGUGCUUAACACAUGCAAGUCGAACGGAGUGGCGAACGGGUGAGUAACACGUGGGUGACCUGCCCUGCACUUCGGGAUAAGCCUGGGUAACUGGGUCUACUACCGGAUAGUGUGGGAUGGGUCCGCGGCCUAUCAGCUUGUUGGUGGGGUAAUGGCCUACCAAGGCGGCGACGGGUAGCCAGACUGGGAGGGUGGACGGCCACAUUGGGACUGAGACACGAACCAGACUGCUACGGGAGGCAGGAGGAAGGAAUAUUGCACAAUGGGCGGAAGCAUGAUGAAGCGACGCCGCGUGGGGGAUGACGGCAUUCUGGUUGUAAACUCCUUUCACCAUCGACGCGGUAGAUGGAGAAGAAGCACCGGCUAACUACGUGCCAGCAGCCGCGGUAAUAC
rnacentral:rRNA from 1 species